AUACCCCUAAUGCGCCUUGAAAUGAGGAACACAAAAGUCACGUGUAAACAAAAAAUCUCUGUGUAGUGAUAUUUGACACAUUGCUAUGAUAAACAAAUGACUGAGCUGAACCAUUAGUGUUAAUUUAGAAAAUAAGGGAACACAGAAUAAAUGUGUAAAAACCAUGGAGCUAUGAAAUGUGUUCAAAGUAUUAAAAUUUCAAAGAACUUAUUGUGUUAAAAUUGGGAUUUUUUACCAUGAGGAGCGACAUCGCAAAAGGAUACUCGGGGUUUGCUAAAUUACGGAAAAAUGAAUCACACUUCGUACCCCGAAAAUUUAACCACAUAUGUAAAAAUGUCUCAGCUUCGAAACAAGCCAUCAUACAUAUACAAGUUUACGAUAUGGGCUGAGCAACAGAAGAAAACGUUAUCAUUACGGCCUAUGGAAUAACAAUUGCGCAUAUUGACCCAUCUUGUAAGAGAGGAUCCAGAGAUAUCUUAAGCUAAUUUCACCUUGUACACCACAGAAAAUUGUUAAAAUGAUGUUCCAGACAUAUCAUUACUUUUAAAUAUGAGAUGACAAACUAAAGGUUUUAAAAGGUCCUGAAUAACUGAAAUGGACAAAUAUACACAGAUUUAUUCAGAAUGUCAUACCGAUGAAGAUCGCCUAAAAAUAUUUGGAAAAAUCAGAACUAUGGAUUUCAAUAUGGGACAAUACCCCUAAUGCGCCUUGAAAUGAGGAACACAAAAGUCACGUGUAAACAAAAAAUCUCUGUGUAGUGAUAUUUGACACAUUGCUAUGAUAAACAAAUGACUGAGCUGAACCAUUAGUGUUAAUUUAGAAAAUAAGGGAACACAGAAUAAAUGUGUAAAAACCAUGGAGCUAUGAAAUGUGUUCAAAGUAUUAAAAUUUCAAAGAACUUAUUGUGUUAAAAUUGGGAUUUUUUACCAUGAGGAGCGACAUCGCAAAAGGAUACUCGGGGUUUGCUAAAUUACGGAAAAAUGAAUCACACUUCGUACCCCGAAAAUUUAACCACAUAUGUAAAAAUGUCUCAGCUUCGAAACAAGCCAUCAUACAUAUACAAGUUUACGAUAUGGGCUGAGCAACAGAAGAAAACGUUAUCAUUACGGCCUAUGGAAUAACAAUUGCGCAUAUUGACCCAUCUUGUAAGAGAGGAUCCAGAGAUAUCUUAAGCUAAUUUCACCUUGUACACCACAGAAAAUUGUUAAAAUGAUGUUCCAGACAUAUCAUUACUUUUAAAUAUGAGAUGACAAACUAAAGGUUUUAAAAGGUCCUGAAUAACUGAAAUGGACAAAUAUACACAGAUUUAUUCAGAAUGUCAUACCGAUGAAGAUCGCCUAAAAAUAUUUGGAAAAAUCAGAACUAUGGAUUUCAAUAUGGGACAAUACCCCUAAUGCGCCUUGAAAUGAGGAACACAAAAGUCACGUGUAAACAAAAAAUCUCUGUGUAGUGAUAUUUGACACAUUGCUAUGAUAAACAAAUGACUGAGCUGAACCAUUAGUGUUAAUUUAGAAAAUAAGGGAACACAGAAUAAAUGUGUAAAAACCAUGGAGCUAUGAAAUGUGUUCAAAGUAUUAAAAUUUCAAAGAACUUAUUGUGUUAAAAUUGGGAUUUUUUACCAUGAGGAGCGACAUCGCAAAAGGAUACUCGGGGUUUGCUAAAUUACGGAAAAAUGAAUCACACUUCGUACCCCGAAAAUUUAACCACAUAUGUAAAAAUGUCUCAGCUUCGAAACAAGCCAUCAUACAUAUACAAGUUUACGAUAUGGGCUGAGCAACAGAAGAAAACGUUAUCAUUACGGCCUAUGGAAUAACAAUUGCGCAUAUUGACCCAUCUUGUAAGAGAGGAUCCAGAGAUAUCUUAAGCUAAUUUCACCUUGUACACCACAGAAAAUUGUUAAAAUGAUGUUCCAGACAUAUCAUUACUUUUAAAUAUGAGAUGACAAACUAAAGGUUUUAAAAGGUCCUGAAUAACUGAAAUGGACAAAUAUACACAGAUUUAUUCAGAAUGUCAUACCGAUGAAGAUCGCCUAAAAAUAUUUGGAAAAAUCAGAACUAUGGAUUUCAAUAUGGGACAAUACCCCUAAUGCGCCUUGAAAUGAGGAACACAAAAGUCACGUGUAAACAAAAAAUCUCUGUGUAGUGAUAUUUGACACAUUGCUAUGAUAAACAAAUGACUGAGCUGAACCAUUAGUGUUAAUUUAGAAAAUAAGGGAACACAGAAUAAAUGUGUAAAAACCAUGGAGCUAUGAAAUGUGUUCAAAGUAUUAAAAUUUCAAAGAACUUAUUGUGUUAAAAUUGGGAUUUUUUACCAUGAGGAGCGACAUCGCAAAAGGAUACUCGGGGUUUGCUAAAUUACGGAAAAAUGAAUCACACUUCGUACCCCGAAAAUUUAACCACAUAUGUAAAAAUGUCUCAGCUUCGAAACAAGCCAUCAUACAUAUACAAGUUUACGAUAUGGGCUGAGCAACAGAAGAAAACGUUAUCAUUACGGCCUAUGGAAUAACAAUUGCGCAUAUUGACCCAUCUUGUAAGAGAGGAUCCAGAGAUAUCUUAAGCUAAUUUCACCUUGUACACCACAGAAAAUUGUUAAAAUGAUGUUCCAGACAUAUCAUUACUUUUAAAUAUGAGAUGACAAACUAAAGGUUUUAAAAGGUCCUGAAUAACUGAAAUGGACAAAUAUACACAGAUUUAUUCAGAAUGUCAUACCGAUGAAGAUCGCCUAAAAAUAUUUGGAAAAAUCAGAACUAUGGAUUUCAAUAUGGGACAAUACCCCUAAUGCGCCUUGAAAUGAGGAACACAAAAGUCACGUGUAAACAAAAAAUCUCUGUGUAGUGAUAUUUGACACAUUGCUAUGAUAAACAAAUGACUGAGCUGAACCAUUAGUGUUAAUUUAGAAAAUAAGGGAACACAGAAUAAAUGUGUAAAAACCAUGGAGCUAUGAAAUGUGUUCAAAGUAUUAAAAUUUCAAAGAACUUAUUGUGUUAAAAUUGGGAUUUUUUACCAUGAGGAGCGACAUCGCAAAAGGAUACUCGGGGUUUGCUAAAUUACGGAAAAAUGAAUCACACUUCGUACCCCGAAAAUUUAACCACAUAUGUAAAAAUGUCUCAGCUUCGAAACAAGCCAUCAUACAUAUACAAGUUUACGAUAUGGGCUGAGCAACAGAAGAAAACGUUAUCAUUACGGCCUAUGGAAUAACAAUUGCGCAUAUUGACCCAUCUUGUAAGAGAGGAUCCAGAGAUAUCUUAAGCUAAUUUCACCUUGUACACCACAGAAAAUUGUUAAAAUGAUGUUCCAGACAUAUCAUUACUUUUAAAUAUGAGAUGACAAACUAAAGGUUUUAAAAGGUCCUGAAUAACUGAAAUGGACAAAUAUACACAGAUUUAUUCAGAAUGUCAUACCGAUGAAGAUCGCCUAAAAAUAUUUGGAAAAAUCAGAACUAUGGAUUUCAAUAUGGGACAAUACCCCUAAUGCGCCUUGAAAUGAGGAACACAAAAGUCACGUGUAAACAAAAAAUCUCUGUGUAGUGAUAUUUGACACAUUGCUAUGAUAAACAAAUGACUGAGCUGAACCAUUAGUGUUAAUUUAGAAAAUAAGGGAACACAGAAUAAAUGUGUAAAAACCAUGGAGCUAUGAAAUGUGUUCAAAGUAUUAAAAUUUCAAAGAACUUAUUGUGUUAAAAUUGGGAUUUUUUACCAUGAGGAGCGACAUCGCAAAAGGAUACUCGGGGUUUGCUAAAUUACGGAAAAAUGAAUCACACUUCGUACCCCGAAAAUUUAACCACAUAUGUAAAAAUGUCUCAGCUUCGAAACAAGCCAUCAUACAUAUACAAGUUUACGAUAUGGGCUGAGCAACAGAAGAAAACGUUAUCAUUACGGCCUAUGGAAUAACAAUUGCGCAUAUUGACCCAUCUUGUAAGAGAGGAUCCAGAGAUAUCUUAAGCUAAUUUCACCUUGUACACCACAGAAAAUUGUUAAAAUGAUGUUCCAGACAUAUCAUUACUUUUAAAUAUGAGAUGACAAACUAAAGGUUUUAAAAGGUCCUGAAUAACUGAAAUGGACAAAUAUACACAGAUUUAUUCAGAAUGUCAUACCGAUGAAGAUCGCCUAAAAAUAUUUGGAAAAAUCAGAACUAUGGAUUUCAAUAUGGGACAAUACCCCUAAUGCGCCUUGAAAUGAGGAACACAAAAGUCACGUGUAAACAAAAAAUCUCUGUGUAGUGAUAUUUGACACAUUGCUAUGAUAAACAAAUGACUGAGCUGAACCAUUAGUGUUAAUUUAGAAAAUAAGGGAACACAGAAUAAAUGUGUAAAAACCAUGGAGCUAUGAAAUGUGUUCAAAGUAUUAAAAUUUCAAAGAACUUAUUGUGUUAAAAUUGGGAUUUUUUACCAUGAGGAGCGACAUCGCAAAAGGAUACUCGGGGUUUGCUAAAUUACGGAAAAAUGAAUCACACUUCGUACCCCGAAAAUUUAACCACAUAUGUAAAAAUGUCUCAGCUUCGAAACAAGCCAUCAUACAUAUACAAGUUUACGAUAUGGGCUGAGCAACAGAAGAAAACGUUAUCAUUACGGCCUAUGGAAUAACAAUUGCGCAUAUUGACCCAUCUUGUAAGAGAGGAUCCAGAGAUAUCUUAAGCUAAUUUCACCUUGUACACCACAGAAAAUUGUUAAAAUGAUGUUCCAGACAUAUCAUUACUUUUAAAUAUGAGAUGACAAACUAAAGGUUUUAAAAGGUCCUGAAUAACUGAAAUGGACAAAUAUACACAGAUUUAUUCAGAAUGUCAUACCGAUGAAGAUCGCCUAAAAAUAUUUGGAAAAAUCAGAACUAUGGAUUUCAAUAUGGGACAAUACCCCUAAUGCGCCUUGAAAUGAGGAACACAAAAGUCACGUGUAAACAAAAAAUCUCUGUGUAGUGAUAUUUGACACAUUGCUAUGAUAAACAAAUGACUGAGCUGAACCAUUAGUGUUAAUUUAGAAAAUAAGGGAACACAGAAUAAAUGUGUAAAAACCAUGGAGCUAUGAAAUGUGUUCAAAGUAUUAAAAUUUCAAAGAACUUAUUGUGUUAAAAUUGGGAUUUUUUACCAUGAGGAGCGACAUCGCAAAAGGAUACUCGGGGUUUGCUAAAUUACGGAAAAAUGAAUCACACUUCGUACCCCGAAAAUUUAACCACAUAUGUAAAAAUGUCUCAGCUUCGAAACAAGCCAUCAUACAUAUACAAGUUUACGAUAUGGGCUGAGCAACAGAAGAAAACGUUAUCAUUACGGCCUAUGGAAUAACAAUUGCGCAUAUUGACCCAUCUUGUAAGAGAGGAUCCAGAGAUAUCUUAAGCUAAUUUCACCUUGUACACCACAGAAAAUUGUUAAAAUGAUGUUCCAGACAUAUCAUUACUUUUAAAUAUGAGAUGACAAACUAAAGGUUUUAAAAGGUCCUGAAUAACUGAAAUGGACAAAUAUACACAGAUUUAUUCAGAAUGUCAUACCGAUGAAGAUCGCCUAAAAAUAUUUGGAAAAAUCAGAACUAUGGAUUUCAAUAUGGGACAAUACCCCUAAUGCGCCUUGAAAUGAGGAACACAAAAGUCACGUGUAAACAAAAAAUCUCUGUGUAGUGAUAUUUGACACAUUGCUAUGAUAAACAAAUGACUGAGCUGAACCAUUAGUGUUAAUUUAGAAAAUAAGGGAACACAGAAUAAAUGUGUAAAAACCAUGGAGCUAUGAAAUGUGUUCAAAGUAUUAAAAUUUCAAAGAACUUAUUGUGUUAAAAUUGGGAUUUUUUACCAUGAGGAGCGACAUCGCAAAAGGAUACUCGGGGUUUGCUAAAUUACGGAAAAAUGAAUCACACUUCGUACCCCGAAAAUUUAACCACAUAUGUAAAAAUGUCUCAGCUUCGAAACAAGCCAUCAUACAUAUACAAGUUUACGAUAUGGGCUGAGCAACAGAAGAAAACGUUAUCAUUACGGCCUAUGGAAUAACAAUUGCGCAUAUUGACCCAUCUUGUAAGAGAGGAUCCAGAGAUAUCUUAAGCUAAUUUCACCUUGUACACCACAGAAAAUUGUUAAAAUGAUGUUCCAGACAUAUCAUUACUUUUAAAUAUGAGAUGACAAACUAAAGGUUUUAAAAGGUCCUGAAUAACUGAAAUGGACAAAUAUACACAGAUUUAUUCAGAAUGUCAUACCGAUGAAGAUCGCCUAAAAAUAUUUGGAAAAAUCAGAACUAUGGAUUUCAAUAUGGGACAAUACCCCUAAUGCGCCUUGAAAUGAGGAACACAAAAGUCACGUGUAAACAAAAAAUCUCUGUGUAGUGAUAUUUGACACAUUGCUAUGAUAAACAAAUGACUGAGCUGAACCAUUAGUGUUAAUUUAGAAAAUAAAGGAACACAGAAUAAAUGUGUAAAAACCAUGGAGCUAUGAAAUGUGUUCAAAGUAUUAAAAUUUCAAAGAACUUAUUGUGUUAAAAUUGGGAUUUUUUACCAUGAGGAGCGACAUCGCAAAAGGAUACUCGGGGUUUGCUAAAUUACGGAAAAAUGAAUCACACUUCGUACCCCGAAAAUUUAACCACAUAUGUAAAAAUGUCUCAGCUUCGAAACAAGCCAUCAUACAUAUACAAGUUUACGAUAUGGGCUGAGCAACAGAAGAAAACGUUAUCAUUACGGCCUAUGGAAUAACAAUUGCGCAUAUUGACCCAUCUUGUAAGAGAGGAUCCAGAGAUAUCUUAAGCUAAUUUCACCUUGUACACCACAGAAAAUUGUUAAA